AGAAUCUAGAGCCACAGGAACAGGGAAACCUCAGAAAGAGGCUGCUUUCUCUUAACUGUCUGUGCUAGAAAAUCUAAAGUCUGAAGGAAGAUUUGUUAGAAGAAACUAGCUUAAGAAAUGCUCCUGGAAAUGAUUUCCAUUUUCUACUGGAAAAUGAACAACUUGAAAGAAGUACCCCAACGUUUCACAUAUUCUUUGAAGUUUUGGUGUGAAAUUGGCAAAAGCUGAUAAAAUGGCACAGAAGGUGCCAGGAUGUUGAGCAACAGUAAAUUUUCUCCUUUCCAUUUUCAAAAGCAUUAUUUUCCACUAAGACUAAAUGUUAUUAAAAAACAUUUCUACAGAUAAAUUUUGGUAUGAUUAAUUUGGAGUAAAUAGUGGAUUAAGGCCCUGGACCUGCAAUGAGUUUCAUAUCGGCAGACAUCUGCAUCUAGGCAGAACCUACCCACAGAGAGUUCACUAAGGGAUCACUUUAGAUUUUCUUGGUCAUUUUCCUGGGUGAUAAAGUGAAAAUGCUUACCUUGAAUUGUCUCUUGACUUUGUCUCGGUCAUGUUCAAAUGUAGCAGCUCUCUCCAUGGCUUGAUAUUUGGCUUCUAAAGCACUUUCUUUCUCUCUAAGUAUUUUCUGGUAAGUUUUCUGAAGAGCCUGAAAAUAUUUAAUAUAUGAUUUCUCUGAAAGAAAAUUAUUAUUGCUAUAAAGUUUUAGCAUAUUUUUCAGCUACUGAGUUUGAUAGCAAAUUCAAUAGUUUUGCUGCAAUAGCCCUUUUACAACUCUUAAUUCAAUGAAGAAGUUUUUGUUUGGUUUUUUUUGUUUAGAUUUAAACAUUGCAUUGCAGCGUUGGAACACAAAUCAGUGCAAUCUUAUCAUGAAUGACAAACAAAAUAUUUAACAUUUUUAUUAAAGCUAAUGUUAAAAUUAUAUAAUACACAGGUUGAGAAAAGAGUGUCUGUACAUCUGGGUAUAGUGCUCGGGGGUUCUUGCAACAAAUUUUUGGGUGGCCUCAGAAUGCAGCCACCAACUCUUGCUGGUGGCUGCUCUGACAAUUUUUCCUAAAAUACUUAAUAACUUUAGAAAAAACAGAUAAAUAUGUGCAUAUACAUGUCCAAAUCAUUGUAAUUUAUUUAU